UGUGGUUGCCCUUGCAGCGAGUAAAACCGAGUCUUUGUCUCACUUUCUGUUGUUCAACUGUGGUUUGACUUGAUCAACUCAUUCCACCCUGACAGCUAAUAAAGUAGUACGGUCGUAGUCACUAUUUGUCUAUUGGUAGAGUGGAACAGCUCUCUGCAUCACAAAUAAUUGUAAACCUGGCACUCCAAAUUGAACGCCACGCUGUAAGCAGACUUAACAUCUGCCGCUCUGACAUCUGGGAUGGAGCCGUCAGAGGAUUCAAGAGCAACAUUGUCUGAAAAGAAGGAUCUCCUUGUGAAGUUUUCAGAUGAUGCUGGCAGGUUUGAGGAGGGUAUCGAUACAGGUGGACCAAAAAGGGAAUUCCUCUCACUUCUGAUGAAAACUCUGAAUGAACGAUCCAUAUUUGAUGGACCUGCAGAAAGUUGCUACUUUGUCUACAAUUCCAAUGAUCCAGAAUGCUUUCUCAUUAAAAACCCUAAGAGACUUAAUGGUACAGCAAAGUACCAUGUUGCAGACUGCAGGGUGCUUCAAACAUGUGAAGUCAUUGGAGGAAAAGCACUCCAUGCAUACCUCAUGCUGGUUUGGACCCUCAGCCAUGUCUUGAAUUUUUUAACAGCUCAAAAUUUCCCAUAGCAAAUACAUGUGCCAACACUUUAAAGCUGCCUCUCUUGGACAAUUACAACACAUUUAAGGAGAAUAUGAACUUUGGGAUUAGGAAUUCCCCUGGCUUUGGAUGCCUUUAGUCAGCAUGCAGGUGUUGGUAUCUUGAGCCAGACCUGUAAAGGUUGUGAGUUCUAGUUCUUCUGUGUUAGUGUAUCCACACUAAACCAGUUGGUUUUGAGUUCUACUGCAUUUGUUUGUCCCCACAUUGGGACCAGUUGACCAUUUCAGCAUUUUUGUUUUGUUGCGUAGUUUGGUCUGAAAGACAACACAUCAUCAAUUAAAUGUCCAGACAGUAGUGAGUAAGUCUCAAUGAUAUUGUUGAAAGCAACACUGUUUAUAACAUAUUAUCUAUUUUGUCAGAUUGUAUAAAUAACUGCUGUUGAUUUUAAGCAACAGUCUCUGUAUUGCUACUGAAAAUAAACAAGACCUGACUGA